rnacentral:rRNA from 1 species
UUACCCCCUCCAUCAUUAGACGCCUCUAGUGUUACCCAUGAAAACCAAGCUAAGAGGAUACAGAGAAACUCUCGUAGCCGAGCAUGUUAUCAGAAGAAAAAUGAGGAACUAACGGUUGAUGAUAGAGAGGAUUUGAAUGAAAAGAUUCGAGGGAAGCGCGUGCAACACCGCAAAAGCAUGUCGGUGAUUGAGAAGGGGCAGUCAAGUGCUCAAAGGAAGGCAUGUUAUGCUAAAAGGAAAAACACCUCGUGCAAAGAAUCCCUCUCACUCCCACGUCCAGACAUUACUAACUCAACAACAUAUAGUAUCGCAAUACCCCUCGAUCGGGCUGCCGAAGAAGAUUCAUCGGAUGGCGACCCUCCCCCGGUCAUGCCAAAUUAUGGUGUUUGCACCAAUGCCGACGUCGAUGUGUUCCUAGAGCCCAUCAUGGGCGAUGAGCCGACACCAGCCGAAUUGAUGGAUGAGGAGUACUACAUGUAUCGCGACCAAGGAUCCGAUAAUGGCACAUCUGAGGAUUACGCGGAACGGAGCAUGUCGUCUGUUAUACCUAGCGAGGUUGAUCCAUUAGACUAUGUGUACACAAACAUACCAGACAGCACCCACAUCCUGAAGCUCGACGCAAACUGCAAACACUGCAAGGCCAGAAAGUUUGUGUCUGAGACUGACGGAUUCUGCUGUCGCAAUGGACAGAUCGAGCUUAAACAACCGGAACCAAUCCCAGAGCUUAUGAGGCUAUGGUCCAGCAUGGAUGCAGAUUCUAGACAUUUUCGUGAGAACAUACGGUUCUUCAAUGGGCAUUUCUCCUUCACAACCCUUGGCGUCAGCCUUGAUGAGAACUACACAAACAUGAAGUCUGGGGUGUACACAUUCCGGGCACACGGAACCAUCUACCACAAUGUGCAUUCGUUCGGGCCUAGCUCACGUCCAGAACAUCUGCAGUUGUACUUCUAUGAUGACGACCCAACCAUAACUCAUCGUAAGGCGGCCACC